AAACUAGCUGUAAUUUGUCACAUUUUUUGGAAGUUCCUUGUUGCACACCCUAUUUACUCAGAUAAAAUUAUUUCUUUCUCAGUUCUCUGAUCAAGUUGAAGAAUUUAUAUUUAUAGUUUUCCCUAGAGCAGAUUCAGUAAUGAAAUUCCCUAAAGAAAUAUAAAGUAUAUAUGGUUGAGAAACAUACAAAGAUACUUUAGUAAUGCAAGAUAGAAUAGAAAGUGAAUUAGUUACAAUCAUGUGGAACCACCAAAAUAGGAUAGAUACUGGAUUAUUUUUGUGAAUUUGUCAAAUAUUUACAGAAUAGACAUUGAUGUGUUGAUGUGUUUAUUGCUUGGAUAUUUUGUAUAUAGUUAUUGUUCUUGUUGCAUAUACUUUUUCUUAUAUUAGUUAUAACCAUUUUAUGUUUUAGACAAAAAAAUGGAAAUGCAAAAUUUUGUUUGUGCUCUAAAAAAUAAAGCUAGCCUGAAGAUCAGGGUUUGAUGUAGACACUGCUUAACCAUAGAGGCCAGGCCAUGGUUACACAUAGCUUUAACCCACGAAUUUGGGAGGAAGAAGCAGGAAGAUCAGGAGUUCAAGGCCACACUGAGGUACACGAAAUUCAACCAGUCUGAUAGAUAUAAGAGCUGGGUGCCUGUGGCUCACUCCUCAGGUGGAGACAGGAGUAUAAGGCUGGAGGAGGCAGUAUUUAGGCUUAUUCAUAUGGUAGAUUUGUAAAGACAGGACCUCCCCAGCACUUCCAUCUGAACAUUUGGUACAGGUAAGAAGUCCCUAUAGUGUUGGCUCCUUUAAUUCUCUUAUGUCUCAACAUUUACCCAAUUAUCUGACAUCUCACUCAGCGUUUUUACUAUUUAAAUCAAUUUGAAGAAAUGCUACAGAGCACCUUUUACCCUCUAAACACACACACACACACACACACACACACACACACACACAGAGAGAGAGAGAGAGAGAGAGAGAGAGAGAGAGAGAAAGAAAGACAGAGAGAGAGAAAGAAAGACAGAGAGAGAGAAAGAGAGACAGAGACAGAGACAGAGACAGAGAAACAAAUGUAAUAACAAAAGAAGUCAUGUCACGAGAACUCUGAGGCUGCGGUCCACACCCAUCUGUGGCCAGGACACAGAGGCCUAGAGGAGCCCUGUGACACAAGUACUCUCUACAACUGGCCCUUGUCCCCUGCAGGGGGCAGAAAGGACAGAUUUUGUUGUGCAGAAGCUUUAUCAUCAGCAGCAUACACUGGGCCUCUCUGUCCUUCACUGUCACAUGCUCCUAGGGAGUUCAGUCGGGAGGUCAUGUAUGUGCUCUAUGGACCUGUCCCACAGACACUCUGCCCUAAUGCGUUCUGCUGGGGUAUUUUGGCAAUGCUGCAAUUGAGCAGUGAUGUUUCAAGGUGCACUAGUUGUUCCCCCCAUAUUCUCAUUGUAAAUCAAAACAUUCAGGCUCCCCUGUGAAUUGCAAGGAUUUUAUUGUUGGAAUCCUGGCUUUAGAUACCUGGAGGGAAGGGUAGGGCUUGCUGCAUCUAUUCAGGUGAGUAGGCAAGUGGCUUCCUUGAGUCUUAUUGCCCAGAUGGAUUCAUCAACAGAAUUUGUUAGCAUCUAUUUUCUGCUGCAAAGAGAACCCGGUGAGGCAUCUGAGGUUUCAGAGGUGAAGGACAUCUCACUGAGCAUACAUGGGACACCUCAUGGGAGGGACUGAAACCUGUCUGCCAGAGCACCUGGGUCUGACCACGAUCAAGGAGCCAUCUCUCCAUCCUGUCUGCCUCAAACCACAUCAGGGCAAACCUUGCAAACAGCCUCCAAUCCAGCCUGAUGGAAAGAGCCACCUGCACUCGGGUCACCAUGGGCACAUAUGGGACACAAUGCAGAGGCAGCUGGGCAGGUCCUGGAGUGUCUCAGGAGAGCCUGCAGGCAACUGUGACCCCACAAGUGAAUUGAUUCCUGUCACAUGAAUACACUCAGACACAUGCAACUGAGGUUGUGACUGGUCUUACUAGUUUUAGUGACAGUAGGGGACUCAACUAGAUGCUCCACAUGAGUCACCUAGGCCUGGAUUCUACAUAGUGGCCUUGGAGAUCCAGAGUGCAAGAAAAAAAUAGUGUUUGUGGAUGCAGUGGUACACUUGACAAGUUAGGGUAAAAGACCCAGCCUGGAGAAAGAGUGCCAGGCCCUGUGCUGGGUGUGGCUGGACCCAGAAGGCUGGGCCAGACAUGCUGAUGGAGGCCAAGUGGUAUCAGGGGGGACAGGGAUCCUCAGGGUCUAGUCUGGCUGGGUCGAGUGAACAUCUAGGCCUAGCUCAGGUUGCCUGAUUGUCCCUUCCUGCCCCAUCCUCCUGAUACCAGCAGUUAGAAGAGCCAACUUUAUGCACACAGAAGUUGCAGGGGCCGUGAGGAACACAGGCUCCAUCUCUAACUGGGGUGAUCAGGGCAGCUCCUGGGACAGAGACAGACACAAUAGAACUCACCGGUAAACUGAGUACAUUCUCCUUGUCAACCUUUGUCAAAUUGCUGUCAACACAUUUCUUCAGAUUUUCAGCAUUUUCCAGUGUUGCAUUGUCAUUCUUGUAUUUCUUGACAAAGUUUACAUAUUCCGGCAGAGAUGGGCCAAGUAAAAGCUCAAUCUCCUGCUUUAUAGCUGGGCAAAUGACAGAAACUGAAACACGAAGAAAAGGGGAUCCUCCCUUGAAACCUUGUGUCAGAACACAGGAGUCCUUCCUGGGGCAGUAAAGGUGUGAGAGCACUAGAGACUUAAAAUCCCCAAAACCCACAGCCUAGUACCUACCUCCCCCUGAAAUCAGGAGCAGGACAGCCCCAAGCAACAGUAGUGCACCAGGGAGUUUCAUGGUAAUGAUGGCAGGUGCUCCUACCUAGCUCAGGCCCCUUCUAUACCUGCCCUGGGCUGCUCAGUGGGCAGAGAGGGGCUGUGUCUGAGCCCCUCCAGACUCCUCCCAGAUCACUGUGUGAAACUCCCAAUGGCUUUGUCAGGAGAGAUGUGUAUUUUGGCAAGAGGAUAAAAUCCUGGUCAACAAAGGGCCUUGUCUCAGCCUGGUGCCUUUCUUAGUAUUCUGCUUAAUGUCACAUGUCACAUGAAGACCAAAGGAAAAUUUGAGUAAGGAGCCAGGCAACAGGCCCCUCAACUAAGCCUCCAGAGUGAGCCCUAGGUCACCCUGUGAGGAUGGGAACUCAAGGGUUACUUAAAAGUCUCCUUAGUAGUCAAUGUCUAAAACAGACCAAAUCACAGACACUUGGGGACCCCUGCUCUGACUGUUUCUGUCCCUAACCCCAUCUUUCCCUUGCUUCAUGGCUUCCUUGAACCACCCUCUAACCCUGAAGUCCUCCUGCUGUUGUAGUCAUUCUGCAGCUUGAUCUCUUCCUUGUUUUUUUUAGGUAGCAUCUCUAGACAUUACCCUUCUGUGCGAGAAAAUCUGUGUAUACCAGGCUGGCCUUGAACUCAGAUAUCCACCUGCCUCUGCCUACUGAGUGCUAGGAUUAAAUGUGUGCUCUACACAGCCACACUGGUCCUCUUAAACUUCUAUUUGAUGUUUAUUUUUCAUAUAGGAUCUGGCCCAGGUUAACCAUGUGUUCAUAAAAUUCCUAACAAGGGAGGAAGUGGGAGUGUGUGUGUGUGUGUGUGUGUGUGUGUGUGUGUGUGUGUGUGUGUGUGUCUGUGUCUGUGUGUCUGUGUGUAUGGUAUGUGUUUAGGACAUGGAUUGUGGUUUGUAUGUGUUUCUGCAAUAUGUAUGUGUGGUGUGGGGGGUCCAUGUGUGUUGUUUUGGGUGGUGUGUGUAUAUUGUGUGUUUAUGGUAUGCGAGUCUGUGGUGCAUGUUUGUGCUGUGUGUUAUGUGUAUGUCUGUAUGUGGUGUUGGUAUAUGUGGAUUGUGUGUGGACUGUGUGUGUGUGGCAUAGGUGUGUAUGUGUGUGGUAUACUUACAAAUGUGUGUGAUGUAUGUAAUAUGUGUGUGUUUCUGAGUUGUGUUUGUGUGGUGUGUGUAGUAUGUGGAUGUGUGGUGUGUUCAUGUUAUAUGGUGUGUAUGUUUCUACAGUAUGUAUUGUGAUAUGGUGGGCCAUGCAUGUAUGUGGUACAUGUGUGUUGUUUUGGGUGGUGUGUGUUUGUGGUAUAUGUGUAUGAUAGGUGUGUUGUGUAUGUGUGUAGAAUGUGUGUGACUGGGGUUUAUGUGGGUUGUGUGUGUCAUGUGUGUGUGCAAUGUGUUUGUAUGGUUGUGUGUGUGUGUAGUAUGUGUGUGUCAUGUGUGUUUGUUUGUGUGUGAUGUAUGUGUAGUAUGUUGUGGGUAUGGUGUAUUUGUUACUAUGUAUGUGUGUAUGUGUGGUGUGAGUGUGUGGUGAAUUCAGAUUCCUCUGUGGCUGGCUGUAAGCACUGUUAAAAUCCUUUAACAAUACCUGGUCUUGUGUCAACACUUUCAGUCCUAGCACACAGGAGACAGAGGCAGGUGGAUCUCUGUGAGAUUGAGGUCAGCCUGUUCAGCACAGAGAAUUCCAGGCCAGCCAGAAUUACACUGUGAGAUGCAGUUAAUACCACUAUGAUGUCAUCAAACACCAUAUAAGAGGGACAGGCAGAUAUGGUUUCAACAUGGCUAGGCCAUACACAGCAACCCCACCUUAAGCCUUGGUCCCCAGGGUGACAGUCCUGAGAGGUAGUGAUGGUGGGUGGUGACAAGCAGGCAGAGCUCCUGCUCUAGUACUGACUUCCAUCAGCUCCCCUGAACUCCCCACCUCUCACCAUGAGUUCACACAGUUCAAGCAUUGGCAAGAUGUGACUGCCCUAUAUGAGCCUGUCAAGACUCCAGCCCAUGAACCAAAUUAACUUCUUUCCCACAUACAGUGCUGAGUCUGGGUAGUUUGGUCAUAGCAAUGAAAUGCAGAUUACAACACCACAGUACACGUGCAUCCUGUACAUAAGAACACGCCGGGCUGUACCACAGCAUGGAGCUCUACACCCUGUCCCCAAUUCCCCAGUUCCUCUUUCACUGGCUGCUUUUGUGUUCCUUAGAUAUCUAAUGGCUCAGGAGACCAAGGCAUGUGCCACUCUGUCCCAGGGACACCACAUAGGAGGUGUCAACAAUGGAGGGCUAGCUGGCUUCUCUCAAGUCUAUAAACAAGACCUUUCUGAAAACUUGAAACAACAGGAUCUUCCAACUUAGCCCAGGCUAGUCAGAAACUCUCAACACCCUUGCCCUGCCUCCAUAUUCACCUUACAUAAGUGCUUGUGUAAUUUGGCUGAUAUUCAUUUUUAAAAGUAAAGAUUCCAAGAGUUUUUGAUCAGUCAGAACUAAGUAGUUUGUUGUUAAAGGCAUUGACUGUCCCUUUCUCUCCAUCAGGAGUGACAGAUGAAGUUUUCCAAAUACUUAGAGAGGCAUUAGCCUUUAAAUUACUGGUCACACAAGCCAAACGGUAUCUGAAUCCAGUAACCGAUUUUUGGCAAAGAGGUGCCAAGCACUAAUAUUCCCUCGUGAUCUGUCCACUAUAUCCUCUAGUUCUUGUUUUGAUGACCUUGCAGGUCCUAUGGCUGCUGAGGUCCAGCUAGGCCUUUCUAUGCCUUGGAAGUAUUAGGAAUGGAUACAAGGGAAUCCUGUGGCUAACAAAUGUCUACUGGUAGCAUACUACCAUUCCCACGUUCAGGCAGAUAUCAUCUUGUUGCAUACUAUCCUUACAAAUUGGAGGUUCUGACACAUAAAGAAGCCAAAGGUCAUUUUAAGAUACUUGAAACAUCUUUCUCAGGAACAAGAUAAUCAAAGAAUGCUCCUAAAAUGACAAUGAUUAUAAGGAUUAAUAAUGGCACUCAUCUAACUGUGAGUAUAGCUUGAACAGAUGCAAAAUGUUUCCUUCCAAUAUUCACAUUAUAAAGCACCUUAUUUUUGCAUGAGUAUUGGGACAGUGAUCCUUAUUGAAUUGGUCUCUUUCAUGCAUUUUCAGACGUGUUCUAAUUUUUUAGAUUCUUUUAAGAUUUUUUAAAAACACUGUACAUUUGUUAGGAUUCUGAUAGUGAUGAAUUUUAAGGUUUGACUAUCUGAGCACUCCAUAAAACCUGCAACAUUUUUGAAAUUCAUAGCAUUCUUCUAGUUUGGAUACUGUGGUGAUUGUUAACAUUUAUGCACCCUGAAGAUGAUUUCCUAUGUGCUUCACAUUUAUAAGAUUUCUCUCAUGUAUGAAUGUAUUGAGUUAUUGCAGAGAUGAUCAAUGUGUAAAGGAAAGAAUAUAAUGUACUAAUUAAAUAUUAAGGAUUCUGACUUCUCCAAACUUGUAGUGUCUAUGAAGAUGUGAAUCAUAGGUACAGAACCUGCACAAUUUGUAUAUUUCUAACUUUUUCUCUAUUAUGUAUUCUUAGAUGAAAUUUAAGUAUUGUGCUCAUAGUAAAGGACUUUUCACAUGCAUUUCAAUUGUAAUGCUUCUAUCCAGUAUGAAAUAUUUGAAGAAUUUGAAGUGUUGAGGUCUGUUUAAAAGAUUUGCCCCAUAUUUACAAUUUUAAGGUUUUUGUCCAGUGUCUAUUCUUUGAUGAACACCAAGAAUUCAGCCUUUUGUAAAGAAUUGCCACAUACUUGAAAACUGUACGGUUUCUCGCACGUAUGUAUUCUUUGAUGAAAUUUAAAAUUUGAGCAUAUGAUAAAGGACUUUCGACAUUCUUUACACAUAACAUUUCUCUCCUUUAUGUAAUCUUUGAUGAGCUUGAAGUUUUGAGUCUUUGUUAAAGGAUUUGCCACAUUAUUUACAAUUGUAAGUUUUCUCUCCAGUGUGUUCCUUGAUGAACUUUAAGUGUUAAGGAUGUAGUAAAGCACUUUCCACAUUCUUUACAUUUAUAUAGUUUAUCUCCAGUAUGUAUUCUCUGAUGAUCAUGAAGUUUUGAGCCUGUCAGAAAGGACUUUCCACAUUCAUUACAAUUAUAAGGUUUCUCUCCAGUAUGUAUUCUUUGAUGAACUUGAAGAUUUGAGCAUUGUGUAAAAGACUUUCCACAUUCUUUACAUUUAUAUGGUUUCUCUCCAGUAUGUAUUCUUUGAUGAACUUUAAGAUCUGAACCAUUGGUAAAGCACUUCCCACAUUCUAUACAUUUAUAUGGUUUCUCACCAGUAUGUAUUCUCUGAUGAUCAUGAAGUUUUGAGCCUGUCAUAAAGGACUUUCCACAUUCAUUACAUUUAUAUGGUUUCUCUCCAGUAUGUAUUCUUUGAUGAACUUUAAGAUCUGAGCCAUUGGUAAAGGACUUCCCUCAUUCUGUACAUUUAUAAGGUUUCUCUCCAGUAUGUAUUCUUUGAUGAACUUUAAGAGUUGAGCCUAUUGUAAAGGACUUUCCACAUUCUUUACAUUUAUAUGUUUUUUCUCCAUCAUGUAUUCUUUGAUGAGAAUGAAGGCUUGAGCCUGUCAUAAAGGACUUUCCACAGUCAUUACAUUUAUAAGGUUUCUCUCCAGUAUGUAUUCUUUGAUGAACUUGAAGUGUUGAGCCUUGUGUAAAAGGCUUUCCACAUUCUUUACAUUUAUAUGGUUUCUCUCCAGUAUGUAUUCUUUCAUGAACUUUAAGAUCUGAGGCUUUCAUAAAGGGCUUUCCACAUUUAUUACAUUUAUAUUGUUUCAUCCCAGUAUCUAUUCUUUGAUGAACUUUGAGAUCUGAGCCAUUGGUGAAGGACUUCCCACAUUCUUUAUAUCGGUAAAGUUUCAUUCCAAUACAUAUUCUUUGAUGAACUUUAAGAGUUGAGCCUUUCAUAUAUUCUUUGUCUAAUAUUUCUUCCUGAGGGGUAUCCUGUGUACACUCUUUUGGAAACAACUCCUGAACUGGAUAACAAAACAAACCUGGAAGAAAUGAAAGAAGUUAUUUAUAUGACUGUCUGGAAUUAGGCAAAAUAAUAUUGAAACUUAUAAAUAAAAGGACUCCAAUGUGUACUGUAACAAAUAGAUUAAUCACAUAAGAUGUUCUAUUUGCUUAGAAAUUGUAUUGUUAAUUUAGAUCAAUAACAUCUUUCAAAGCACAUUAUAUAGUGUUAGAAAUGAAAAAUCAUAUAUAGACUUCCUAUGAUUAAUUAUAAUUAAUACAUAUUAAUACAUAGUCAUUGAAAGAGAGAGUUUAUUAAAAAGAAAGCAAUAAAAUGAUCAUUAAAAACAAAUAUGGCCGUAAGUAAUCCAGUGUUCAAACAAGAAAAACAUGAAGUAUGCCAUAUCAUGAAAUUGUGUUUAAUGUAAUAUGAAAUGUUUAAAUGGAACCUCUUUAAACGUGUCAUGUAACCAGAAACUAUUAACACAAUUUUUAGAAAACAAAGCAAAUUAUUAUCCAUUUUUAAAAAUGUUCUAUUUACCUCAAAUUUUCAAAAUUAAUUUAGAUUAAUUACACAUUUCAAAACAAAUGAAUUAUAAAUUUUAGAAGUGAAAAAAAAUUAGACUUCAAGCUGUAAUUAAUCAAAAGAGAUGUAGAAGGUCAUCCCAUAUUCAUCACAGGAAAUAUGCAUCAAUAUAAAG
rnacentral:lncRNA from 1 species